rnacentral:rRNA from 1 species
CGCUGAAAGAUAAAUCUGUUUAAGAUUAGGUUGUUGGUAAUUUAAAAGCUUACCAAGCCGAUGAUCUUUAGUUGGUCUGAGAGGAUGAUCAACCACACUGGAACUGAAACAAGGUCCAGGCUAAUACGUUGGCCAGCAGUGGGGGAUAUUGGACAAUGAACGAAAGUUCGAUCCAGCAAUACUAACUGGGUGAUGACGGCUUAUUUAAGUUGUAAGAUCCUUUAAUUGAAGAAGAUAAUGACACUAUUUAAUUGAAUUAGUCCUGGCUAAUACUCGUGCCAGCAGCCGCGGUAAUACGGGAAGGGCAAGCGUUAUCCGGCAUGACUGGGCGUAAAGAGUCCGUAGACUGUAAAAUAAGUUUUUUGUUAAAUUUUAAGACCUAAUCUUAACAUAGCAACUAAUACUGUUUUACUAUGAGUCUAAUACAGAAAAGUAGAAUUUUAUACGAAAGAGGUGAAAUUUGCAGAUAUAUAAAGGAAUGCCAAAAGCGAAGGCAACUUUUUAGUAUAGACUGACGUUGAGGGACGAAAGCGUGGGUAGCAAAUGGGAUUAGAGACCCCGGUAGUCCACGCCGUAAAUUCUGAGUGCUGUAAUUUAAUUGUAAUAUUUUAGAAAUAUUAUUUAGAUUUUCAAGCUAACGCAAUAAGCACUCCGCCUGAAAAGUACGAUCGCAAGAUUGGAACUCAAAGGAAUUGACGGGGGUCUAACACUAGUGGUGGAGCAUGUGGUUUAAUGCGAUAAUCCGCGCAAAACCUUACCAAUUCUUGACAUAAUUUUGUAAUUACGCCCAGCUCUAUUUUGUAUGGUUUAAUUAUUUAUUACAGGUGUUGCACGACUGUCGUCAGCUCGUGUCGUGAGAUGUUUGGUUAAGUCCUGAAACGGGCGCAACUCUUACUUUUAAAAUUUUAACGUAUUAAAAAUUUUUUAAAUGCUUUAAAAGUACGGUCAAUGAUAAGUUGAAGGAAGGUAAGAAUGAAGUCAAGUCAAUGUGACCCUAAUGAAUUGGGCUACUUCAUGUGCUACAAUGAAAAUCACAAAAAGUGACAAGAAAGAGAUUUUAAGGUAAUCAACGAAAAUUUUCCCAGUUCGGAUUGUAGACUGCAACUCGUCUACAUGAAGGUGGAAUCACUAGUAAUCGCAAAUCAGCACGUUGCGGUGAACAUGUAACUUGACCUUGUACACACCGCCCGUC